rnacentral:rRNA from 1 species
GCACAAGCGGUGGAGCAUGUGGUUUAAUUCGAUGAUACGCGAGGAACCUUACCCGGGCUUAAAUUGCAACUGAAUAGCUGAGAGAUCAGUUAGCUAGCAAUAGCAGUUGUGAAGGUGCUGCAUGGUUGUCGUCAGCUCGUGCCGUGAGGUGUCGGCUUAAGUGCCAUAACGAGCGCAACCCUUGUCGAUAGUUACUAACAGUUGACGCUGAGGACUCUAUCGAGACUGCCAUCGUAAGAUGCGAGGAAGGUGGGGAUGACGUCAAAUCAGCACGGCCCUUACGUCCGGGGCUACACACGUGUUACAAUGGAGGGUACAGAAGGCAGCUACACGGCGACGUGAUGCUAAUCCCGAAAACCUUUCUCAGUUCGGAUCGAAGUCUGCAACCCGACUUCGUGAAGCUGGAUUCGCUAGUAAUCGCGCAUCAGCCAUGGCGCGGUGAAUACGUUCCCGGGCAA